rnacentral:lncRNA from 1 species
GACUGUUUUGAAUUAAGGAGAUCAGGCAUGAACACUGACAUUAAGUCAAGUAAAUAAUUUGAGAAUAAAUGCAUAUAAAAUAAUUUUAUUAUUCUUUUAUUCACAAUAUAUAUGUGGUUUUUGGCUCCGAUUCUGACCAAUGCUUAUAUUCCAAAUAUAUAUGCAUGUAUAUGUCGAUAUUGUUGUUGUUGUUACCAAUUAUGUAAAUCAAUUGUAUCUGAUGUUAUGCCCUUUAUGGGCCCUGUAAUUUAGGAAAUAAAAAUAUUCUAUUCUAUUCUAUUCUAUUGUAAAAGUCUGAGAAAAACCACCAACUGUUUAGUAGCCGCAAUUGCAUGGUCAUCGAUCGUAACAUCCCUCAAGUAAAUACAUAUACAGUGCAAGACAGAUGACACUUCCGGACGCAGACGAUGAAAUCAAACAACACUUCAUACUUUGUAAAUAAAGUCUAUGUAAUUGUUCAACAUAAUCAAUUAAAAGUUACGCCAUUGAAUACAUCAGAUCUGAUAUUCUGGCUCUUUGUAACGAGUUUGUAGUUUUAUAAUUUGUAACGCACGUCGCUUGUGAUAACUUCCGCGUGCCAUAUCAACAUAGAGAUAAAAACUGGGGAUUAAAAUCAGAUAACAAAGCGCUUAAUAUAUAGUUUACAAUGUAUCUCACAAAGUCUGAACAUUUCAUGCUUCCGUGUUAUUGCUUUAAUUGAACACGUUCUAUCUAUAAGUACAAUCAUUCCUUUUCAACAAAAAAAAAGUGUUUAAUCAGAUAAUUUUGAAGUAUAUUUUAAUAAAAAAUAGAUUCUAAACCUUUUCUAUGAAAUGGCCUUCAUGAAUGCAGGAACUUGAAGUACAGGGUUGUCAUUGGCAAGAUAAAUGUUGUUGUUUUUUUUCUUUAUGGUCAUGGAAUUUGUUUUAUUUUCUAGAAUUUUUCUAGACUGUCCUUUCCGUGUGUUUUCUCAGACUGUCCCUUUUUAAGCGACAAUUUUCAUAACAAUUCUAAGCCUGACAGAUAAAGCAUGUGCAUAAUUACCUAAACAAACCCUGGAACAAGAACGUAUAUUAAAUGUUAAUCAAACGACCUAGAUGGUUCUCUUUUUCUUUAUGGAAGUACAAUAUCAAAUAUCAGUUUCAUUACGGUGAC